rnacentral:rRNA from 1 species
UACGUAGGGAGCAAGCGUUGUCCGGAAUCAUUGGGCGUAAAGCGCGCGUAGGCGGCCUCAUAAGUCCGUUGUGAAAGUCAAAGGCUCAACCUUUGAAUGCCGAUGGAUACUGUGAGGCUAGAGUCCGGAAGAGGCGAGUGGAAUUCCUGGUGUAGCGGUGGAAUGCGCAGAUAUCAGGAGGAACACCAAUAGCGAAGGCAGCUCGCUGGGACGGUACUGACGCUAAGGCGCGAAAGCGUGGGGGAGCGAACAGG